UUCAACAUUAUGAUGUAUGCUUCACCCUUGGCUGUAAUGGUCAGUAAUCAUUCAUUCUCCAACUAAACCAAUAUGGUUAUUUAUUCAAGCUUUAAUUAAUAGUUAAUCUAUAUGACAUUGCAUUACCACCAUAGACAAUGCAAAUCUUGGGUUUUUUAUGCAUCAAUUGAUUUUACCAUGGUGCAGAAAUUGGUGAUCACGACAAAAAGCGUGGAGUACAUGCCACUGUUCAUCUCUAUCGCCUCCUUUGGGAAUGGUGUGGCAUGGACGACUUAUGCUCUCAUCCGUUUCGAUCCAUUCAUCACUGUAAAUAUAAAUUUAAUUUCAUGAUUUUCUCUUCUGUUCUCUGGUUUAAUCAUACAAUCAAAUGACAAAAUCACUAUAAAGUGAAGGAAUAACCUAUUGGUAUGUUGGGCUAUAUAUCUUGCACAAUUGACAGGUACCAAAUGGGAUUGGGACUUUGUUUGCAGUGGCACAGCUGAUUCUGUAUGCA
rnacentral:lncRNA from 1 species